GACGUAGGAUGCAAGCGUUAUCCGGAAUGAUUGGGCGUAAAGCGUCUGCAGGUGGCAGUUCAAGUCUGCUGUCAAAGACCGGGGCUUAACUUCGGAAAGGCAGUGGAAACUGAACAGCUAGAGUAUGGUAGGGGCAGAGGGAAUUCCUGGUGUAGCGGUGAAAUGCGUAGAGAUCAGGAAGAACAUCGGUGGCGAAGGCGCUCUGCUGGACCAUAACUGACACUCAGGGACGAAAGCUAGGGGAGCGAAUGGG
rnacentral:rRNA from 1 species